UUUUUUCUCUUUUUUCAUGUAUAAAUAAAUAUAGUACUACUACUUUACUAGCAAAGUUGUAGUAUACAAAUCCAUUAGCAUAUGGUUUUCAUUUUGCAGUCGUCAGUCCUCUCUGGUUUUGCUUUCAAGAAGAAGAAGAAACAAAAUAAACACUGGUGACACCAUUCAUUCAUUCAUUCAUUCAUUCCUGAUUGAUUCCCACACAACUCACAACACCCAGCGACUCACUCCAUCAAUCAAAUACUAGUAGCAAUCAUCAGAUUCAGACCGACCGACGGACACAGCUGCAUCAUCAUCGAUUCCAUCCCAUCCAAAGACACCAUCGAGGCAAAGCAGAGCAAAUCCAGUGCUUCUCAAUCUCAAUCUCAAUUUUAAUCUCAUCAUCCUCUCCCUAAGGCUCAAGCGCACGUCAACCGGCAUAUAUUAUACUCUGCUUUGCGAAUUGCGAUAAUGGAAGCCGAGACCAUAGCAAAUCCAGAGCUACCAAACGUCAAAGUUCCUGCGGAUGAAGGCAGCAUUAUUAAGGCACCGACCAAGCAGAAGGAAGGAAAGAAAGAAGAAGAAGAGACUGCCCUUGAUGGAGAAUUUAUAAAGGUAGAGAGGGAAUCAUUUGAUGCCAAGGAUGGUUCUCGUGUCGUUGAAACUGAAGCUUCCGUGGACAGCAAGCCAUCCGUUGCUGAGGAAAGCUUGAGCAAUUCAUCCGCUAGCAGGGAGUUCCUAGAAGCACAGGAAAAGGCGAGGGAAAUUGAGCUCGAAUUGGACAGAGUUGCAGGAGCACUGAAGGAUUCUGAAUCUCAGAAUGCACAGUUGAAACACGAGCUUUCGCUUACUAAGGGCUUGCUGGAGGAAGCUGGGAAGAAGCACGAAGAGCUUGAACUGGGUCACCAGAAAUUGCAGCGCCAGACCGUGGAGGCGGAAGAGAGACAUACAGCACAGCUCAAGGCUUUGGAGGAGGCUGUACGAUCUCAAGAACUAAAACACAAGGAGUUGACCGAAGUAAAGGAAGCAUUCGGUAAUCUUACCCUAGAGUUUGAUAGCUCGAAAAAGAAGAUGGAAGAGCUUCAGCAAGAGCUACAAACCUCUGCAGAUGAAGCCCGUAAAUUUGAGGAGUUGCAUAGAGAAAGUGGUUCUUAUGCUGAAUCAGAGACAAAGAGGGCCUUAGAAUUUGAGAGGCUGCUUGAGCUUGCAAAAGUCAGUGCAAAACACGCGGAAGACCAGAUGACUUCUUUACAAGAAGAGCUUAAGGGCCUGUACGAGAGGAUUGCUGAAAAUGAGAAGGUCGAAGAGGCACUCAAGACUACGCCAAUGAGCUUUCUACGGUUCAAGGAGAGUUGGAGCUUUCCAAAUCACAACUGCUAGACGUGGAGCAGAGGCUCGCUUCUAAAGACGCUCUUAUACACGAGUUAACUCAAGAAUUAGAUGUCAGAAAGGCCUCCGAAUCUCAGGUCAAGGAAGACGUAUCAGCGCUAGAUAUUUCGCUCUCAUCAAUUAAAGAAGAACUUCGGUCAAAAGCGUCAGAUUUGGAAGAUGCCAAGUUCAAGUUGCGGGAGGAAGAGAGCGCAAAAGGACAGGUUGAAGUUAAAUUGAAAGACCAGGAAGCCAAAGUAUCAACCAUGCAGGAAAAAGUGGCCAAGUUAACGGCAGGCAAUGAAGAGCUUGAAGCUGCUGUUGCUGAGCUAACAAAUAAUGUAUCCCAGAUGAAGGAGCUGUGCAGUGAUCUGGAGGCUAAGUUGCAGCGGUCUGAUGAGAACUUCUGCAAGGCAGAUUCUCUCCUGUCUCAAGCUUUGGCAAACAGUGCAGAACUAGAACAGAAGUUGAAAGCCCUGGAAGAGCUUCAUCUUGAAUCUGGAUCUGCUGCAGACACAGCUACCCAAAAGAACUUGAGCUUGAGGAAAUCAUACGAGCCUCUAACGUUGCGGCAGAUGAAGCGAAAUCUCAACUUAGAGAAUUUGAGACACGUUGUAUUGCAGCAGAACAAAGGAGCGUGGAACUAGAGCAACUAUUGAAUCUGGUUGAGCUGAAAAGCAAUGAUACUGAGAGAGAACUGAGAGAGUCUUCUCAGAAACUAUCAGAACUGAACGCAACACUAGAAAAAGCCGUGGAAGAAAAGGAACUGCUGAACACCCAAAUACAAGAAUACCAGCAUAAGGUGGCUGCUCUGGAGUCUGACUUGGGUCAGUCAACAGCACGACAUUCAGAACUUGAGUUGGAGUUAACGAAUGUCACUGGGAAAUGUGCUGAACAUGAGGGACAGGCUAAUAAGAUCCACCAGCGUAGCCUUGAGCUGGAAGACUUGAUGCAGGUGUCACAUUCCAAAGCAGAAGAAGCCAGCAAAAAAGUGAGUGAGUUGGAGCUCUUGCUUGAAACAGAGAAGUAUAGAAUUCAGGAGCUUGAAAACAAAUAAUCACUUUAGAGAAGAAAUACCAGGAUGCAGAGGCAGAGUCUAAGAACCAAUCAGAAAGGGUUUCUGAACUUGAUGCAGAACUUGGGCACACAAAUCUAAAGCAGGAAGCCUGGAAGUUGCUGUAGAAUUGGCUACUGAAAAAGAAAAGGAAUUGAAUCAAUGCCUGAAUGCUAUGACGGAGGAGAAGAAAGUUUUAGAAGAUGCAUCCAAAAGUUUAAAUGAAAAACUAGCUGAAGCAGAAGGGCUCCUUGAAGUCUUGCGGAAUGAAACAAAUGUCUCCCAGGAGAAAUUGGAGAGCUUGGAGGAUGAUCUCAGGGCUGCUGGUAUUAGAGAAACUGAAUAUACGGAGAAGCUGAAAUCUGCUGAGGAGCAGGUAGGUCAUCAUGGACAUUUAUUGGAGCAAGCAACCGCCAGAAGCAGGGAGAUCGAAUCCUUGCAUGAGACCCUAUCAAGGGAUUCUGAAACAAAGCUUCAAGAAGCAAUAGCAAAUUUCUCAAGCAAAGAUUCGGAAACAAAGUCAUUAUACGAGAAACUGAAAUUGCUUGAAGAUCAAGUAAGGAGUUACGAAGACCAGUUGGCUGAAUCCAGUGGGAUAUACGCAGCUACAAAAGAACAGCUGAACCAGGUUUUGAUCAAGUUGACUUCUGCAGAAAAUACCAUUGAGGACCUUUUAAGAAGGAUCUCUGAAUCAGAAAAUAAGUCUGCUCAGUUUUCUGCAGAGAAUGAACUCUUAUCUGAGACAAAUGUACAGCUUAAGGCCAAGGUAAAUGAAUUGAAGAACUUGUUGGCUACUGAAUCUAGAGUUUCAGAAGCAGAAAAACAAUUGCAAGAAGCUAUCCUGAAAUUCACCCAUAGAGAUUCAGAGGCUAAAGACUUAAUUGAGAAGUUGAAUGCUUUAGAAGGCCAGCUGAAAGCAUAUGAAGAGCAGGCUCAUGAAGCAUCUACAGUUUCUGAAAGUCGAAAGGCAGAACUGGAGCAGACUCUACUAAAACUGAGGAAUCUAGAAAGCAUCAUUGAAGAACAGCAAGGCAAGUCUGUUCAGUAUCAACAAGAGACAGAGAAGGUACUUGCAGCAAAUAUAAAGCUCACUGAGGAACUGGCAUCAUAUGAGUCGAAAGUUAAUGGUACACUGACAAAACUGUCAGCUGCACUUGCUGAGAAGGAAGAAGCAGCUGAAGAGCUUCACUCUGCAAAGAAAACAAUUGAAGGCUUGACACAACAGCUAACUUCUGAAGGGGAAAAGCUACAAUCUCAGAUGUCUUCUGCAAUAGAAGAGAAAAACAUACUCACUGAAACACAUGAAAUUUCCAAGAAGGAGCUGCAGGCUGUGGUAACACGUCUUGAGGAACAACUGAAGGAACAGGAAUCAAGUGAAAUUACUCUGAAAGCUGAGAUAGAAACUCUCAAGGAUGAGAUCAGCCAGAUGUCUGUUUUGCAAAAUCGUCUAAAAGAGCUGGAAGAACAAUUAGUGGACUAUGAACAGAAAGAAAGUCUCUCCCAAAAAGAGUUGGAAACUGAAGCUCCUCCAAAACAUGUGAUUGAAGAGCUCGAAGCUAAGAGCAAACAAGUCCAGUUCCUGGAAACCCAAGUGAAAGAUCUAGAGCAGAAAUUGCAGCUGGUUGAUGCAAAAUCAAAAGAGAAGGAGGCUGGAGGCAUUAGUGUGGAAUCCAGGGAUCUGGGAACCAGCAUCUCAACCCCAUCAAAACGGAAGAGUAAGAAGAAGUCGGAAGCCUCUUCCACUCAAACGACAUUGUCCUCAGAUACGAACGCUCAAUCUGCAGAGGGAUCUCCUUUAAUGGCCUUCAAAUUCAUCUUGGGUGUGGCACUGGUUUCAGUGAUUAUUGGCAUCGUUCUUGGGAAAAGAUACUAAAAGCUGGUAGGGCUUCCUGGUUGUGGAUUUGCUUCUGAAGAUGAAGGAAUUCAAUUUUUUUUUCUUUUUUUUUAAAAAAAAAAAAAUCUUAUUUAUGGGUUUCUCAUUUGUAAUAGUGUAGUGAGAAAGAAAAGCCAAAUUUUUGGCUGGCAUGCUAUUUAUGUAGGAGGUUAGAGCUGGUUUGGUUUUGGUCCAGUGGGAAUUGAUUUUUUAGG